rnacentral:rRNA from 1 species
UACGAAGGUUGCAAGCGUUGUUCGGAAUCACUGGGCUUAAAGCGAAUGUAGGCGGCUCAUCAAGUGCCUUGUGAAAUCCCCCGGCUCAACCGGGGAAUGGCUUGGUAGACUGUUCGAGCUUAAGGCAAGUAGGGGCGCAUGGAACUCUUGGUGGAGCGGUGGAAUGCGUAGAUAUCAAGAGGAACGCCGGUGGCGAAAGCGGCGCGCUGGGCUUGUCCUGACGCUGAGAUUCGAAAGCCAGGGGAGCAAACGGG